rnacentral:misc_RNA from 1 species
GGAUUCUAGAUUGUUUGACCCUUUCCAAUAAUUAAUGUCAUUUCAUUUUACAAAUUGUUGGUAAUUUUAUGUCAUCAAUGAAUACAUUAUUGCAUUUCCCCUUUAUAUUUAGAUUAGAUUUUGUGCUUAGUCCAGAAAGCCAUAGUAGGUUACGUAGACUGGUACUUUACAGCUACAUAUAAAGAUUUUGUGCUUAGUCCAGAAAGCCAUAGUAGGUUAUGUAGACUGGUAGUUUACAGUUACAUAUAAGAUUUUGUGCUUAGUCCAGAAAGCCAUAGUAGGUUAUGUAGACUGAUACUUUACAGCUACAUAUUAGAUUUUGUGCAUAGCUCUAAUAGCCAUAGUAAGUUAUGGGACUGGUACAUGUACAUUUAGAGGUAAGCAACAUUGACAAAUUCAUGUAUGUUCCUCUGUCAUGUCAUGUAUGCCCUUUUUAUUUCAUUUUAUUUAUUUUUUCCACCAAUAUCAUUAUCUAAAUGGUAACGUUAUUUGUAACUGUUAUUACUCAUUACAAUGCUUGAUUAAGUUUUUAUUAUUUUAUUUUCUUUUUAAUUCUUAUCUUAUUUCAACACCCUUUUAUUGACCAUUUCUCGCUAUGCUAAUCAUAUCCUGCCUGGUAUCACAAAUUUGAUAUUGCUACCUUAUUAUUUUGUCCUAAUUAACAUAAUGAAUUUGUUCACACCAUGCUUACAUUCUUUUAUUUUAGUAUUUAGCAUCAUAUUAUUGAACGUUCAAAUAUCAUUGCCUCAAACGGAUGAAUAUCUUCAUGCAUCUAUUAUUCAUCUAUCUGUAAUAUCUAGUGAUCUACUCUAGUUAUUUACAUAAGUUCCUCUUCGUGUGGCCGAAACCUAGCUUGGUAUCAUUGCAUAUAUUUUUCACCUUCUCUUGAAAGUUGAUUCUAUCAUGC